rnacentral:rRNA from 1 species
AUAGAAGGUCCAGCCUGCCCAGUGACUUAGUUAAACGGCCGCGGUACCCUAACCGUGCGAAGGUAGCACAAUCACUUGUUCUUUAAAUAGGGACUAGUAUGAAUGGCAUCACGAGGAUUAGACUGUCUCCCCCACCUAAUCAAUGAAACUGACCUCCCCGUGAAGAAGCGGGGAUAAAUAUAUAAGACGAGAAGACCCUAUGGAGCUUUAAACAUAACACCACUCACCUAAGCCCACUUCAUAAAAAACAGGUGAAGCUUGUGUACGUUUUCAGUUGGGGUGACUGCGGAGCAAAAUAAAACCUCCACGAUGAGAUCCUCUAAUCCAAGAACAACAUUUCAAAGAAUCAAUAAAUUGACAUUAAUUGACCCAAAUAAUAAUUUGAUCAACGAACUAAGUUACCCUAGGGAUAACAGCGCAAUCCGCUUCAAGAGCUCAUAUCGACAAGUGGGUUUACGACCUCGAUGUUGGAUCAGGGUAUCCCAGUGGUGCAGCCGCUACUAAAGGUUCGUUUGUUCAACGAUCAAAACCCU